UUUUUACCGUUCUUCAGUUGGCAUUUAGAUGUAUCUUAUGAGAACUGAGAACAUUUAUCGUUCUUGAUAAUUAGAUCAGACCAAACCCCUUCACUUCAACUUUCUCAGCUCUCUCCACACAACUCGCCCGCAUACGUCACUUUGUGAAAGUGGUUUGCCCUCCACCAGCCCGGUCAUGAAUCAGCCAUUUCAGGAAAACAAAAGUUCCCACAAAGCAGAAUUUAGUGACUGCGCCGCGGGCCGGAGGCGCGAGGAGCCUGCAGGAAUAAUCCCUUCUCGCUGCAGUUAUUCUCUCAGAUAGGCGUGACAUGUGACGUUUGUUUACACAGCUGACUGCCUGCCUAAAUGUGCCCACGAGCGCUUUGCUCUGACUGAUGUCUGAAUUCUCGACUGAGAUGUCAGCGUGUGUCGAGUUUCCCCCGAGGGCGGAAAGGUCAACGCAUGAAUCACUCCCCAAGUCGACUCCUCCUGCCGCCCCCUCCACCUCGACGGGGCACCUGGUUGAGUCACAGCUCCAGGUAGUUCGGGGGCCAUCAGUCGGCUUCCGUGGUCAUGGCGUCGCAAUGACAAAGCGCGCGCGUCCGGCUGAAGAGGGAGUCACGGUUCCAGCGUUUCUCGUGCGGCCGUGACUCUCUACUCGUCAUCUUCGACCAAGGCGUUGCCAUGGUAGCGCAGCUCUGUCGCUGCCUAUAUCUAGAGCCCUUUAGUUUCACACACUUGAGCCUGAAAUGCACAUAUUUGAUGUUUUGGAGAGUUAGCAGCAGAGAUUCAGGGGAGCAAUGUCGGUGCGUUUGGUCCACUUGUUUAUUAGAACCUGAAAUAUCUCAAUAACAACGAGUCAUGAGCCAUGCUAUUCGGCACAGACCUUCGUGUGUUCCCCAGAGGAUGAUUCACAAUGAGUUUAGCAAUCUCCUGACUCCUCAUGCAGCAUGGAUCGUCAUGAAGAUCAGCACAGUUUAUGCUGCUGUUCGGAUCAAUUGUAAUAGCCUUCAUGGCCAUCUGAUGUAGUAAUUGAGAAAAUACUUUAGUUUUGUACCCAAGGGCACUUCUCAAAGGCAAAAGAAACCAUGCAGAGAAACUAACAGAACACUAACAGAACACUAAAAGAAGAACCGUGGAGAGUGUCUUUCUCACCAUGUUAGCAUGCGUGUUAGCCUGCAUGACAUUCGCACAAGCACUAGCAUAGACUCUGUUUUACAGGUUGAAAAAGCAGCGCACAAGACAACCCGUUGUUGUUGAACUAUGCCCCACCUCAUUAACAGUGCAUCUUAAAUGAAAAACCUCAUCUCCAUGUACUACACUAAUUUGGCCUGUUGUUUUCUGUGUUACGUAAAGUCGUAUAUAUUACGUUUUUACGGCGUCCCAUAAAGGCUGUGAUCCAAAGGAUCCUGGUAGACCUAUAAAUCCCCCAAACAAUGAUGCUUUACUCGAGUCGAAUAACUUUCAAUGCCCAGUUCUGGCUGUACGGCAUGUUCGCAGCAGGACAGGUUACGUUUGAGCUUUCUUUUUUUCUUUUUUUUUUGCUCACUGGGUUGUGUAAGAGUGUUCAGGUGUGGACCCAGGGAACAUUGGCCGGGCGCCUGCAUUUUCUCCAACCACUCUCCCCGAACCAUAGAUACUCUCCACUGGUCUCACAAAGAGCCCCAUACACUCUGCCAAAGGGAACAAGGAGUCAUUUGAAACCCAGCGGCAAGGGAAAGUGUGCAACACCCGGACACUUAGAAGAGACUUUUGCUCACUGCGGACACAGAUGUUCAUUACUGCCGAGGAGAGAGAGAGUAAUGACUCUGUUGCCAUGGAUACCAUCUAGUGUGCUCAUUGUUGAGGCCAUAGUUGACACGGGAAAGACCAUGAAGGCCCUUCUGAAGCACGUGGAGACCUUUGAACCCAAGAUGGUCAAGGUCGCGGGUCUGCUGGUGAAGAGGGUCCCUAACAUGGCAGAAGAUCUGACAGACUAUGUUGGAUUUGAAAUCCCCAACCACUUUGUUGUUGGUUACGCCUUGGACUACAACGAGUACUUCCGCGACCUGAAUCAUAUCUGUGUCAUCAGCAAGAUUGGGAAGAUGAAGUACAAGGUUUGAGAAGCAACGCACAGUUUUACAUUUCUGGCUCCAAGCCGUCAGCAAAGAGUAAAUGAACAAAGCAACGGAUGAAUAAAAGAGAGGAGAUGCUGGCCACCAGGAGAGGCCUGUUGGUGACAGAUGGAGGGAGCUUAUGGACGUUGGCAUCCCCUUUGCCCGGAUGACUCUGACUCAUGGAAAACACACAGCGUCUCCUCACCACACUGUGUCUGUUUGUUCACAACUCAAAUCAGGCCUGACUGGAAAUAACAACCAAAUGCAUGUAAAAAAAAAAGAUAUGUCUAUUGAAUGUGAACUAUUUUAUAUGCAAACUCAAAAAUGUUCAAAAUUGUGUAUUUUAUUUAUUUGAUUAGGUACAAAAAUAUUGAAAAUGAGACAUUUCAAAAGUCAAAUUUAUUCAAAACUUUCUUUCGUCAAAGGAUUCCGAUAAUAAAAUGUAUAAAAAGGCAAU